CGUACUCAAACAGGACGGACAGGAUGGUGGCACCGGGGUUGGUAACCACGCGCACUUCACCAAUGGUGGAGUCGUAGACCCCAUGGAACCGCAGCCAGAUGACAAACAGCAGGGCUGCGUAACCUAAGGUGAGGAGGUGGUGACCGAGGAUGUUCCCCAGUUUGGCCGCGUCAUCCCA
rnacentral:antisense_RNA from 13 species